GUAAAGCCAUGUCGAAACUGUCUAGAUUUUUUGAGUGUUUUUCCAGCUACCCACCACUCACCCAUCUCUGACCUCAGUUAGCACCUGACAACUGGCAUCACGAAUAGGAUCUCGGAGUGAGUGAGUCUUCGGUCCCCGCUGAUUCCGGGUUGGCCAUGUGGCUCUAACAUGGGUUGUGGUAUCCGGUGGCAGCUGUGCUGCUUGGAUGGGCUCUGGUGGAAACUUGGGCGGCAGUAGACGGGUGCCCCACGAGCAUGGAGAAGGCGCUGAAGCAGCUGGAAGCAGAGAGCACUGAGAAGGAACAAGCCUUUGCCGGCGGAGUUGGAUGGGCAUUUUUGACUGCGCUGUGAGAAGUACAUAUGCAGUCCCUGAGGGAUGCAGAAGUAAGGACCCUCAGGCACAGGUGGGGUGCCUGGAGACCCGGCUACACAGCUCAGAAAAACAGAAGUUGCCGUGAAUGGGGACCUCCAGGUGCCGGUUGGGCGCCUGGAGGGCCGGCUACCAAGCUUGGAAAAGUAAUUAGAGGCCGCUGUGAGUGCAGGCCUGAAGGCUGUUGGCGGGACUGAGUGGGACUGAGGGGUUCAUGCCAUAAAGAAGGUGAAUAUGACCCGCCUGCAGGGGGUCCUCCAAGGGAGAAAAGGGGGCCCCAAUGAGUGACAUGUUCACAGAUGUGGAUAGAUUUGAUUUUGGCCUGGGUUGACUGAGAGAAAAUCGGUAAGCAGCCUUCUUUAUGGGAACCCAGGUAAGUUUUCCGGCAAACCUGCUUACAUAGGUUAUGAAGACCGGUCAGUGAAAGUGAAACCUGUAUCUUUGCACCUCUGCAUCAGCUGCUUGGCUCCCCGCUUAUGCACUGUAUAUGUCUCUCUCACACCUGAAUACAUUCUGAGGGUGGACGUUUUACACGGCUUGGCAGCUAUGCCGUCUGUCACGGACUUGAAGGACCACUUGACAACAGAAUUACGACAGUACCGCGAUGUGGUGGACUUGACCAAUGCAUUCUCAAUUAGCAUUACUCUAGAGAUCCAGGAACAGUUUGGCUUCAUGGGAAGGCAACAGUGGACUUUCACAGUGUUGUCGCAGGGCUGUAUGCUUAGCUCCACCCUAUGUCCUGGUCUUGUUGAUGAUAUUGUUUACCUCUGAUUCUCUGGCAGAUUUAGAAGCGGCAAUGCUCUUCUUGCUAGAAUUAAAAUAGUAUGGCUGAGACCACCUUCCUGGCAGCCAAACGGGCUUUUCAGCAGGCACAAGCCCUAUGGGUAGUUGACCAGGGGUGCCCGUUUGAGCUGGAUGUGCAUGUGACCACAGAUGGCUUCGGCUGGGGCCUGUGGCAACGCACAGAGCACUUGAGAACGCCAGUGGGCUUUUGAUCCCAACUAUGGAAGGGAGCUGAGCUCCGCUAUUCCUUGAUAGAGAAACAGCUAGCAGCUGUAUAUGCUGUCCUGCAGGCUUGUGAGAGUGUGACAGGACCAGCUGUAGUGGUCGUGCGGACAACUUAUCCAAUAGCAGGAUGAGUGCAUUCAUGGGUAAUGACCCCCCGGACUGGGACAGCACAGACAUCCACUUAACAACGGAGUACGCUGAAUACAAGGCCCUUAGCAGCAGAUUGCAAGAGGUCUUGGGACCUGUAGUCCUAAUGCAAGAUUAGGCCAUGGGCCUGAGGCACCCCUAGACCCUAAGCCUUCUCCAUUUAAGGAAAGGCAUGCCCCCAUUUCCAAUGAGGCAUGGUACACAGAUGGGUCUAUACGAGGUGCUGCUGCUGCCUGGACUGCUGUCACGGUCCAGCCUAGUACUGACACCAUAUGGUUUGAAACCGAGUGUGAACAAAGCAGUCGAUGGGCUGAACCCAGAGCAAUGUGGAUGGUGAUCACCAAGGAGGUGACACCUAUGGUAAUCUGCACCGGUAUUUGGGCAGUUUAUUGAGACUUAACCUUGUGGCUAACUACCUGGAAGUUACAGAAGUGGCUAGUCACCAGCCCAUGUGAGGCCAAGCCAUGUGGCAAGACCUAUAGGAAGAAGGAUGACCUUCUCCGACCACGUAUGCAGACAAAUGGUAACCUGUUGUUGCCUGCCCCAAUGCCCCUAAAGAAUAUGGCCCUUGGGUUCUGAAGAGAAAGUCUGGAUGAUCACAGUAUUCCUUCCAUCCUGCAUUCCUUGAACUCCCAUUUUUAUCCCAAAACUCCCAUUUUUUGUCCCCUC
rnacentral:lncRNA from 1 species